UACGUAGGGGGCAAGCGUUGUCCGGAUUUACUGGGUGUAAAGGGCGUGUAGGCGGGCUAUUAAGUCAGAGGUGAAAUCUUACGGCUCAACCGUGAAAUUGCCUUUGAUACUGUUAGUCUUGAGUACGAGAGAGGAAGAUGGAAUUCCUGGUGUAGCGGUGAAAUGCGUAGAUAUCAGGAAGAACACCGGUGGCGAAGGCGGUCUUCUGGCUCGUAACUGACGCUGAGGCGCGAAAGCAUGGGGAUCAAACAGG
rnacentral:rRNA from 1 species